rnacentral:rRNA from 1 species
UACGAGGGAUGCAAGCGUUAUCCGGAAUUAUUGGGCGUAAAGCGUUUGUAGGCGGGCGAGUGUGUUUAAUGUUAAAUCUUAAAGCUCAACUUUGAAAUUGCGUUAAAAACUGCUUGUCUUGAGUAUGGUAGGGGUAAAGGGAAUUCCCAGUGUAGCGGUGAAAUGCGUAGAUAUUGGGAAGAACACUAAACAGCGAAGGCACUUUACUAGGCUAAUACUGACGCUGAGAAACGAAAGGUAAGGUAGCGAAACGGAUUAGAUACCCGUGUAGUCUUACCCGUAAACUAUGGACACUAAACGGUAAAUUUUUAAUUUACUGUUAAAGCUAACGCGUUAAGUGUCCCGCCUGGGGAGUAUGCUUGCAAAAGUGAAACUCAAAGGAAUUGACGGGGGCCCGCACAAGCGGUGGAGCAUGUGGUUUAAUCCGACGGUACACGAAGAACCUUACCAGGAUUUGACAUGCUAGAUAGUUGCUUGAAAGAGUAACGUGCCGUAAGGAAUCUAGACACAGGUGGUGCAUGGCUGUCGUCAGUUCGUGUUGUGAAAUGUUGGGUUAAGUCCCGCAACGAACGCAACCCUUGUCUUUAGUUAUUUUCUAAAGAGACUGCCUGUAAUAAACAGGAGGAAGGUAAGGAUGAGGUCAAGUCAUCAUGCCCCUUAUGUCCUGGGCUACACACGUGCUACAAUGGGAAAGACAAUGAGCUGCAAAUCUGUAAAUUUAAGCAAAUCUCUUAAACUUUCUCGUAGUUCGGAUUGUGGGCUGCAACUCGCCCACAUGAAGUUGGAAUCGCUAGUAAUCGCCAGUCAGCUAUAUGGCGGUGAAUCCGUUCCCGGGCCU